rfam:Burkholderia udeis isolate LMG 27134 genome assembly, contig: contig000096
GCCGGCUUAGCUCAUCAGGUAGAGCAGUUGAUUUGUAAUCAGAAGGUGGCGGGUUCGAGUCCUGCAGCCGGCA